rnacentral:ncRNA from 23 species
AUUUGAAUUGACAAUUCGGGUUUUAUAUAUAGGUUAAGGGAAGGCUGUGAGAAACAGCCACGGUCCCGCCGCUGUAAUAGGGACGAAACCUGCAGAAUGCCACUGCCCGUGCAAGGGUGGGAAGGCGCAGGGAGUAGGUUAAGACCCUUUAGUCAGAAGACCUGCCUAUAUAGGAAGUUGCCUC